rnacentral:rRNA from 1 species
GGAUUAGAUACCCUGGUAGUCCACGCAGUAAACGAUGAGAACUAGACGUGGGAGAGGUUGACUCUCCGGUGUCGCAGCUAACGCAUUAAGUUCUCCGCCUGGGGAGUACGGCCGCAAGGUUGAAACUCAAAGGAAUUGACGGGGGCCCGCACAAGCGGUGGAGCAUGUGGUUUAAUUCGAUGCAACGCGAAGAACCUUACCUGCCCUUGACAUCCGGGGAACCCUGCUGAGAGGCAGGGGUGCCUUCGGGAACCCCGAGACAGGUGCUGCAUGGCUGUCGUCAGCUCGUGCCG